GAAUCAUUCUAAUGUUUAAUCAUGAAAUACUUGUUUUUGGUAGCUAUCCAUUAAUGAAUUGUCUAUCAGGUGAUUUUUUUUCUAAAUAUUGAGAUGAGCACAACCUUUAAUAUAUUUAUAUGGUGAGUUACACUAAUUGAUUUUUGAAAGUUAAAUUAUCCUUGCAUUUCUGAGGUAAACCCAAGUUGACUAUGAUUUACUUAUUUACACAGAGCCAAAUUAUAAUUGUUAAUAUUUUCUUUAGAAUUUGUACAUCUACUUACAUAAUUUAAUUCAUCUAUAAUUUUUUUAUCUUAUACUGUUUUCUAUUUUUUGGUAUCAAGGUUAUACUUGCCCUAAAAAAUUUGUCGGGGAGUGUUCCCUCUAUUUCUGUUCUCUAGAAGAUUUUAUUUAAGAUUGGAAUACUCUGUUCUUUGAAUAUGUUGUAGAAUUCACUAAUAAAGUCAAAAUCAUCUUAGCCUGUUGUAUUUACCUGUUUGCUUGGUAGGUAAAUUUUUAAAUACCAAUUCAAUUUAUUUAACAGAUAUUAGAAAAUUCAGGAUUUCUAGUUCUUCAAUCAAUUUUGGUAAAUUAUAUUUUUCUAAGAAAGUCUACAUUUUGUCCAAAUUUUGAAUUAGCCAAAACUGUUUCUAGUUACUACUUUUAGAUCUCUAUUGUGUCUUCGUUACAUUCUUCUUUUAUUAACAAUUUCUAUUUGUACCUUUUCUUAUAUUUUCUUGAUCAGUCUUACCAAAGGUUUGUCGGUUUCUUUAAUCUUUACCAAAAAACAGCUAUUCAUUUUAUUGUUCUCUGCAUUGGAUAUUGUUUCUAUUUCAUUAUUUUCUGUUUAUAUUUUCUUUCUUCAAGUUUGUUCUGAUUUUCUUUUCUUAAGUUAGAUGUCUGCCUAGCUCAUUGAUUUAUUCCUUUAUUUUUCUUAAUAUAACCCUUAAGCUUAGAAAGAAUUUAAGCACUAUUUUAGCUUUAUGUCACAAGCUGUGAUAGUAAUCUUUUUAUUAUCAUUCAGUUCUAAAUAUUUUCUAUUUUGUUAUGUUUUCAUGACCCAUGGGAUAUUAUUUUGAAGAUUAUAUCUAAUUUCCAAACAGAUUUAUUUUAAGCUAUUUUAAAAAUUGAAUUAUAUGUUAAUUGCAUAAUGGAUGAUGGCCAGAGAACAUAGACCAACUGAGAAUAUCUUUAAAACUGUUGAAUUUAGUGAUUUCUUAUCUAGGGUCUUUGGCAAAAAGUAAAUAAAUAAAAAGAAAAUUGUUAAAUUUGGAAUAUGGUCAAUAUACAUAACUGUUCAGUGUCUAUUUAAGAGGACUAUGUAUUCUCUCAUUGUUGGGUGGGGAAUUCUAUACAUAUAAAUCAAAUAAAAAUUGUAUAACUCAAUUCUAUAUUCUCACUAAUUUUUUUUUUUUUACUGGGUCAUCUACAAGUUACUGAGAGAGCUGUUAAAUCAUUAUGAUAGUGGAUUUGUCCCCUUUGCCUAUAAUUCUGUCAGGUUUUGCUUUACAUAGUUUGAGUCUAUGCUAUUAAAUGCAUAUGGGCUUAGCUUUAUUUCUAUUCCUGAUGAAUUAAACCUUUUGUUAUUAUCAGGUAGCUAUUUUUAUCCCUAAUAAUCCUUUACAACUUAACAUCUAUUUUGUCUGAUUUUAUUUUAUUUUAUUUUAUCUUUUGGAGACAGGGCCUCAAUUUGUCGCCCAGGCUGAAGUGCAGUGGUGUGAUUUUGGCUCACUGCAGGCUCCACCUCCUGGGCUCAAGUGUUCCUCCUGUCUCAGCCUCCCAAGUAGGUGGUACUGAAUAUAAGUUCAGCUAAUUGUAGAAUUCUAGGCUAACAGUUAACUUCUCUCAGCCCUUUGGAAAUAUACUAACGUCUUCAGACUUUCAUUGUUGCUAUUGAAAAGUGUAUUCAUUUUUUUAUGGCUGUCACAAAUUAUCAUGACUUUACUGGAUUAAAAGAGCACAAAUUUAUUGUUUCAAAGUUCUGUAGGUCAAAAGUCAGGAAUGGCUCUCACUGGGCUAAAAUCAAGGUGUUGGUCAGCUGGCUUUAUUCCUUUCUGAGGGCUCUUGAGUUUGUUUCCUUGCUCAUGCAGAUGUUGGAAGAAUUCAGUUCCAUGCAGUUAAAGGACUGAGAUGAUUUGGCUGUUCUCUCUAGCUGCUUUUAAGAUCUGGCUGUUUCUUGGGUCUUGCUCUGUCACCCAGGCUGGAGUGCAGUUGCUCUAUCAUGACUCACUGCAGCCUCAAAUGCUUGGACUCAAGCAAUUCUUCAGGCUAAAAGGUUUAUGAAGAUAUAUGUCUUGUCUGGCAUCAUAUCCUGGGACCCACAAAGUGACUGAAAUACAUCUGGUGGUCAAUAUAUAUUUGCAUCUUUCAAUUUAGACCAGCCACAUUUCAAGUGCUCAAUAGCUGCAUGUAGCUAGCGGCUACAAUAUUGAACAGUGCAGCUCUGGAAAUUUAAAAAACAAAGAAAAGAUGAUUUCUAGAGCCUUCGCAUCCUAGAAACCAAGUCUAUUGGAAUUGACUCCUCAGCAAGGAUCAUGCUACAUAUUUUGAAAGAUAAAAUCAAGAGCCACAUAUUUAAUGGACCAAGCAAAAUCAAGCCACCCCGCUAAGUACCUCUCCAUAAUUUUUACUAAAUUUCUUUUCCUCUUUUGGAGACACCUAAAGCCAGAAAUCUUCAUUAGUGACUGAGGAGUAGAGGGGGCAAUAUAGGAAUUAUAUAUGCAAUGUUUUUGUACAUCUGAAAAGAGACAUGGGAGUUACACAUAGAACUCCUAUGGCUGAAGAGGAUCUUAAGAUGUUAUGCACUUCACCUGCCAAAUGAUACCUAAUUCAUUCACUAGCAGGCUAUAGGAAAUAAAGGGAUGAAAGAGAAAAGACCAACUUUCUUAAAUUUAGGAAAAUGCCCUUUUAAUUAAGGGAUGAGGAUGGUUCAGUGCUGUUGGCAAUAAUUUUGUUGAGAUAAGUAAGGCAAAAAAAAAAAAAAAAGCCUCAACAUGUUCUCUGCAGAUAGGACACAGAAACACAUAAAGGAGAAAAACAGUGAACCGUAGUGCUUACUGCUCACACUUUUCAUCAAUGUAAAAUGCAUCAGCAACAAAAGAUACGAAGGAAAAGUAAAAAAUACCACUCUUUCCAAAAUACUUUGUGACCUGGCUUAUCAUUUGUGACCUCUAAAUCACAGUCACAAAUGAUCCCUUCCCUACAACAACAAAUGCUAUUAGUGGAAGAAUCUACUGAUGUCAGCUCACCAAAUCCCACAGAGUAGCCCCAAUGAUGAGGCAUUGACACCUACCGCAAGGUACUGAGUACAUUCUUUGAAAGCCAACUCUGCAUACCACAUUGCAGAACUGGUAUGGGACUUGCUGAAACAGCCUAUGGCUCACAGGUUGCCUGUG